rnacentral:rRNA from 1 species
UGGAUUUAUUUUAGCAUGAUGUGGGUUAUGCCCGACUUUUUGUAGUGGUCUGUUAGCACAAAAAAAGAGAUCAAAGUUUAUGCUUUCCAAGGGGAGUAUGAUCGCGGGGCAGAACUUUAAGAAGUUGACAGGAGGGCCCGACCAGACGUGGAUCCUGCGGUUUAAUUUGGUUGGCCGGGGAAAACCUUCCAGGUCCAGGCAUAGGAAGGAUUGACAGAUUGGGAGCUCUUUCUUUAUUCUAUGGGUGGUGGUGCAUGGCCGUUCUUAGAUGGAGGGUUGUCUUGUCAGGUUGAUUCCGGUAACGAACGGGCCCUCAGCCUUUAAAUAGUCACUGUCGCUUUUUGCGGUUGGCUUUUGACUUCUUAGAGGGACAGUUGGCGUUUAGUCACGGAAGUAUGAGGCAAUAACAGUUCUUCGAUGCCCUCCGAUGUUGGGGGCCGCACGCGCGCCAUCGUGAUUUUUCAACAAGCCUAUCCCUAGGCGCAAGGCUCGGGUAAUCCCUGAAGCUUCAUGAAGAUGGGGAGAGUCUAUUGCAAUUGGUAGUCUUCCCGGAGGACUUCUUAUUUAACACAAUUGAUCCUUCCGGGAGGAGGGAGUCCCGCCCCUAUGUACACACCGCCUGUCGCUCCUACCGAGUGGGUGAAGGUGUGACGUGUUUGGACUAGCAACGAUCGGUGGCACCACUGUCGGUUGCCCAGAAGUUCCUGACCCUCCCGCCAAGCGUAACGAGAAGUCGAUCAUAAGCAGAGGACUCAAACACGGNGAAACUUACCAGGUCCAGACAUAGUGAGGAUUGACAGAUUGAGAGCUCUUUCUUGAUUCUAUGGGUNGUGGUGCAUGGCCGUUCUUAGUUGGUGGAGUGAUUUGUCUGGUUAAUUCCGUUAACGAACGAGACCCCCCGCCUGCUAACUAGUCGCCUUAAUGCCUAGCAUUNAGGUGUACUUCUUAGAGGGACUUUCGGUGAUUAAUCGAAGGAAGUUGGGGGCAAUAACAGGUCUGUGAUGCCCUUAGAUGUCCUGGGCCGCACGCGCGCUACACUGACACACGCAGCGAGUUUUCCUUGUCCGAAAGGUCUGGGUAAUCUUGUAAAUGUGUGUCGUGAUAGGGAUAGAUUAUUGCAAUUAUUAAUCUUGAACGAGGAAUUCCUAGUAAAUGCGGGUCAUCAGCUCGCGUUGAUUACGUCCCUGCCCUUUGUACACACCGCCCGUCGCACCUACCGAUUGGAUGAUUCGGUGAAACUUUCGGACUGUGAUCAAGACGCUCUCGGGCGACUCGGUCGCGGGAAGUUAUUUAAACCUCAUCAUCUAGAGGAAGGUGAAGUCGUAACAAGGUUUCCGUA